AAAGUUAGCCUUAUGGCUGCAGUAUCUCUUCUUAUCACUUUAAUGCGUGGUACACUCUCACUUCAAAAGCUGCAUAUUAAAUUGAUUUUGGGACCGGCCAGGUGGUCUGGCAGUUUAUUUUGCCUACUUACACAUCGCACAGGUAUUGCAUUACUUCAAUAUGUGGUGCAGGAAAA